AUUGAACGCUGGCGGCAGGCCUAACACAUGCAAGUCGAGCGAGCGGCGGACGGGUGAGUAAUGUAUGGGGACUGCCAGAUAGAGGGGGAUAACUACUGGAAACGGUGGCUAAUACCGCAUACUAACGGAUAAACCAUAAGGGAUUAGCUAGUAGGUGGGGUAAAGGCUCACCUAGGCGACGAUCUCUAGCGGGUCUGAGAGGAGGAUAAGCCACACGGGUACUGAGACACUGACCAGACUCCUCCGGAGGCAGGGGUGGGGAAUAUUGACCAAGGGGGGCAGGCCUGAUGCAGCCAGGCCGGGUGUAUGAAGAAGGCCUUAGGGUUGGAAAGUACUUUCAGCGGGGAGGCGUUACCCGCGGAAGAAGCACCGGCUAACUCCGUGCCAGCAGCCGCGGUAAUUG
rnacentral:rRNA from 1 species